AGACGUCUACAUUAGAUACCCGUGUACGUCCCAGCCGUAAACUAUGCGCGUUAGGUGUAUCGGUGACCACGAGUCACCGAGGUGCCGAAGGGAACCGACGAAACGUGCCGCCGUGGGAAGUACGGUCGCAAGGCUAGAAACUUAAAGGAAUUGGCGGGGAGCACCACAACGGGUGGAGCCUGCGGUUUAAUUGGACUCAACGCCGGGAAGCUCACCGGAUAAGACAGCGGAAUGAUUGCCGGGCUGAAGACUCUGCAUGACUAGCUG
rnacentral:rRNA from 1 species